rnacentral:rRNA from 1 species
CCUGGCGGCCAUAGCGGGCCGGAACCACUCGAUUCCAUCCCGAACUCGAACGUGAAACGACCCAGCGCCGAUGAUAGUGCGGGCCCUCCCGUGCGAAAGUAGGACACCGCCAGGC